GACAGAGGGUGCAAACGUUGCUCGGAAUCACUGGGCGUAAAGGGCGUGUAGGCGGGAAGGAAAGUCAGAUGUGAAAUCCCCAGGCUCAACCUGGGAACUGCAUUUGAAACUCCCUUUCUUGAGUACCGGAGAGGAAAGUGGAAUUCCUGGUGUAGAGGUGAAAUUCGUAGAUAUGGGGAGGAACACCGGUGGCGAAGGCGGCCAUCUGGACGGAUACUGACGCUGAGACGCGAAAGCGUGGGUAGCAAACAGG
rnacentral:rRNA from 1 species